UGGGUUGUGGCUCAGAGGUAGAGCACUCACCUUGCAUGUGCGAGACCUGGGUUCGAUCCUCAGCACCACAU
rnacentral:tRNA from 1 species